rnacentral:rRNA from 1 species
GUGGGGAAUAUUGGACAAUGGGCGGAAGCCUGAUGCAGCAACGCCGCGUGCGGGAUGACGGCCUUCGGGUUGUAAACCGCUUUCAGCAGGGACGAAGCGCAAGUGACGGUACCUGCAGAAGAAGCACCGGCUAACUACGUGCCAGCAGCCGCGGUGAUACGUAGGGUGCGAGCGUUGUCCGGAUUUAUUGGGCGUAAAGAGCUUGUAGGCGGUUGGUUGCGUCGAAAGUGCAAACUCAGGGCUUAACUCUGAGCCUGCUUUCGAUACGGGCUGACUGGAGGAAGGUAGGGGAGAAUGGAAUUCCCGGUGGAGCGGUGGAAUGCGCAGAUAUCGGGAGGAACACCAGUGGCGAAGGCGGUUCUCUGGACCUUUCCUGACGCUGAGAAGCGAAAGCGUGGGGAGCAAACAGGCUUAGAUACCCUGGUAGUCC